rnacentral:tRNA from 1 species
CAAAGCAAAGCAUUUGGUAUGCACUUUAUUUACACUAAAAAGAUGUUUGUUCAACUCAACCUGCUUUGA